rnacentral:lncRNA from 1 species
AAUUCUAAAGAUCUUCAUAACAUUCAUAUUCAGUAAUUAAAUACCUGCGCUCUCUCUCAGCAAUUGUGUGUUCCAAAAUUACACUAUAUGCCAGGUCAAUGGUUGCAGGGGAUGCUAAAUAAUCCUGCCAUUGGUGAACUGAAGUAUUAGAAUAUAACUCAUCUACAUGAACAGCACACAAUAGCAUCAAACUUUAACAUCCUAUCAUCCAGAACAGCAAUCUCGAAAGGAAAACUAUAAUUGCCAAUUUGGCUAAGCCUAUUCCAUUUUCCAUCUAUUCACUCCUGUGCUCUCAGACAAUAGAUAGGCUAUCGUACAUUAACAAAGAAGAAAAAUUGAAGGGAAUGGGUAUUAAACUAUAUCAUA